GACGAACGCUGGCGGCGUGCUUAACACAUGCAAGUCGAACGGGCCUUGUCCCCUUUUUUUUUGGGGGUGGGGUUAGUGGCGAACGGGUGAGUAACACGUGAGUAACCUGCCCCUCACUUCUGGAUAACCGCUUGAAAGGGUGGCUAAUACGGGGUGUUCUGGCCUGCUCGCAUGGGUGGGUUUGGAAAGAUUCGACCGGUUUUGGUUGUUUUGGUGGGGGAUGGGCUCGCGGCCUAUCAGCUUGUUGGUGGGGUGAUGGCCUGCCAAGGCUUUGACGGGUAGCCGGCCUGAGAGGGUGGGCGGUCACACUGGGACUGAGACACGGCCCAGACUCCUACGGGAGGCAGCAGUGGGGAAUAUUGCACAAUGGGCGCAAGCCUGAUGCAGCGACUCCGCGUGAGGGAUGGAGGCCUUCGGGUUGUGAACCUCUUUCGCCAGUGAAGAAGGUCCUGCUCUUUGUGGUGGGGUUGACGGUAGCUGGGUUAAUGAAGCGCCGGCUAACUACGUG
rnacentral:rRNA from 1 species